rnacentral:rRNA from 1 species
AUUGAACGCUGGCGGCAGGCCUAACACAUGCAAGUCGAGCGGAUGAGUGGAGCUUGCUCCAUGAUUCAGCGGCGGACGGGUGAGUAAUGCCUAGGAAUCUGCCUGGUAGUGGGGGACAACGUUUCGAAAGGAACGCUAAUACCGCAUACGUCCUACGGGAGAAAGCAGGGGACCUUCGGGCCUUGCGCUAUCAGAUGAGCCUAGGUCGGAUUAGCUAGUAGGUGAGGUAAUGGCUCACCUAGGCGACGAUCCGUAACUGGUCUGAGAGGAUGAUCAGUCACACUGGAACUGAGACACGGUCCAGACUCCUACGGGAGGCAGCAGUGGGGAAUAUUGGGACAAUGGGCGAAAGCCUGAUCCAGCCAUGCCGCGUGUGUGAAGAAGGUCUUCGGAUUGUAAAGCACUUUAAGUUGGGAGGAAGGGUAGUAACCUAAUACGUUGCUACUUUGACGUUACCGACAGAAUAAG